rnacentral:rRNA from 1 species
GACGAACGCUGGCGGCGUGCCUAAUACAUGCAAGUCGAACGCAGUGGGGACGGGUGAGUAACCCGUGGGUAACCUCCCAUCAGAGGGGAUAACACUUGGACACAGGUGCUAAACCGAUACUGAUGGAUGGACCCGCGGUGCAUUAGCUAGUGGUUGAGGUAACGGCUCACCAAGGCCACGAUGCAUAGCCGACCGGAGAGGGUGAUCGGACACACUGGGACUGAGAAACGGCCCAGACUCCGUCGGGAGGCAGCAGUAGGGACUCUUCGGAAAUGGACGAAAGUCUGACCGAGCAACGCCGCGGGAGUGAAUAAGGUUUUCGGAGCGUAAAACUCUGUUGUUAGGGAAGCGGUAUCUAACCAGAAAGCCACGGCUAACUCCGUGCCAGCAGCCGCGGUAAUAC